rnacentral:rRNA from 1 species
GCUCAGAUUGAACGCUGGCGGCAGGCCUAACACAUGCAAGUCGAACGGUAACAGGAAGCAGCUUGCUGCUUUGCUGACGAGUGGCGGACGGGUGAGUAAUGUCUGGGAAACUGCCUGAUGGAGGGGGAUAACUACUGGAAACGGUGGCUAAUACCGCAUAACGUCGCAAGACCAAAGAGGGGGACCUUCGGGCCUCUUGCCAUCAGAUGUGCCCAGAUGGGAUUAGCUUGUUGGUGAGGUAACGGCUCACCAAGGCGACGAUCCCUAGCUGGUCUGAGAGGAUGACCAGCCACACUGGAACUGAGACACGGUCCAGACUCCUACGGGAGGCAGCAGUGGGGAAUAUUGCACAAUGGGCGCAAGCCUGAUGCAGCCAUGCCGCGUGUAUGAAGAAGGCCUUCGGGUUGUAAAGUACUUUCAGCGGGGAGGAAGGUGUUGUGGUUAAUAACCGCAGCAAUUGACGUUACCCGCAGAAGAAGCACCGGCUAACUCCGUGCCAGCAGCCGCGGUAAUACGGAGGGUGCAAGCGUUAAUCGGAAUUACUGGGCGUAAAGCGCACGCAGGCGGUCUGUCAAGUCGGAUGUGAAAUCCCCGGGCUCAACCUGGGAACUGCAUUCGAAACUGGCAGGCUUGAGUCUUGUAGAGGGGGGUAGAAUUCCAGGUGUAGCGGUGAAAUGCGUAGAGAUCUGGAGGAAUACCGGUGGCGAAGGCGGCCCCCUGGACAAAGACUGACGCUCAGGUGCGAAAGCGUGGGGAGCAAACAGGAUUAGAUACCCUGGUAGUCCACGCCGUAAACGAUGUCUACUUGGAGGUUGUGCCCUUGAGGCGUGGCUUCCGGAGCUAACGCGUUAAGUAGACCGCCUGGGGAGUACGGCCGCAAGGUUAAAACUCAAAUGAAUUGACGGGGGCCCGCACAAGCGGUGGAGCAUGUGGUUUAAUUCGAUGCAACGCGAAGAACCUUACCUGGUCUUGACAUCCACAGAACUUUCCAGAGAUGGAUUGGUGCCUUCGGGAACUGUGAGACAGGUGCUGCAUGGCUGUCGUCAGCUCGUGUUGUGAAAUGUUGGGUUAAGUCCCGCAACGAGCGCAACCCUUAUCCUUUGUUGCCAGCGGUCCGGCCGGGAACUCAAAGGAGACUGCCAGUGAUAAACUGGAGGAAGGUGGGGAUGACGUCAAGUCAUCAUGGCCCUUACGACCAGGGCUACACACGUGCUACAAUGGCGCAUACAAAGAGAAGCGACCUCGCGAGAGCAAGCGGACCUCAUAAAGUGCGUCGUAGUCCGGAUUGGAGUCUGCAACUCGACUCCAUGAAGUCGGAAUCGCUAGUAAUCGUGGAUCAGAAUGCCACGGUGAAUACGUUCCCGGGCCUUGUACACACCGCCCGUCACACCAUGGGGAGUGGGUUGCAAAAGAAGUAGGUAGCUUAACCUUCGGGAGGGCGCUUACCACUUUGUGAUUCAUGACUGGGGUGAAU